rnacentral:tRNA from 1 species
AGGCCCGUAGCUCUAACUGGCAGAGCGCCGGUCUCCAAAACCGGAGGGUGUCGGUUCGAAUCCGACCGGGCCUGCCA